GUAUGUUCUCUAAGAAGCUUAGUGUAUCCCGCAAUGAAUCUGCAGAAAUUUCAAGGAAAAUUUCAAUUAUUUACAGGAGGAAUGUAUUUUGGGUUCACGUAUCCGUACUGCGGACGGAGAAGAAGGACGAACCCGAGGAAGAAACCAGCUAGGAAUCCUCCAAAAUGAGCAGAAUUGUCCACACGUGAUUGUCCAGUUUGUGAUGAGCUCUGAGAGCAUUGCACCGAGUAAUCCGAACAAAGCACCAGAUGCUCCGACUGAUACCCGUUCUCCUUGGGAAUCUGUUAAGCAAGACACCAGGCUUCCUCCAAGCCCGGAGAUCACAUACAAAGCUCCGAUUCUCACUGUAACACCAAACUCUUAAAUCAGAUCACAGAAAAUUCAGGAGACGGAAAAUAGAGGGGUUUAAAGGGUCUUACUGAAUCCAAAUUCUUGUUCAAGGCGCAUUCCGAUACACAUGAGGCUGAUCAUGUUAGCCAUCAAGUGAAGGAAACCACCAUGAAGCCAUAUGCAAGAGAUGAGACGCCAUCUCUCACCUUCCUCCACAAGUCUCCUUUCGAGAGCUCCGAGUUUUCUCAGCCUGAAUCAACAACAAAGAUGCAUUCUGGCAAUCGUUCACAUACAUGGUGGUAGCGAAUGUGACGAAGUUGGCUGCUAAAAUGAGAGGCACAAGCCACGCAACCCAUGGCACGGGAAUGGGCGGGCGAAAAUGUGGUCGCGCUGGUGGUGGUGGUCCGUUUUCGAUAUCUGGUGGAAUCGGCGGUCUCUUCCCCAUUUCUGGAAAAGAGUAUCAC